CCAGGAAUUAUGCGCGCUGACAGGAGAUGCAUGAGCCGCGCAUUGUGCGGCUGGAGCAGCCUUGACAACUUAUAGUUAACUGCUGCAUCGGCGACCCCGAACACAAAAGGAUGCGGCGGCUUAUUAAUGGCCGAGCAUCCGUGUCAAUAAUCCCUGCUUUUGGGUUGUGUCCAGACUCAUGCAUCUUGCCACGCAACCGGCGGCGCACGCAUGCGAACAUGGGCUCAGGCGCGCGCGCGGACGCCGGAGUUAUGAGCGUGAGCGCUGAGUGGAGCUCAGCAGGAGCUGGACACCCGCUUCGGACGUUAUCACGGCAUUCAAUGGCCAUUAUCAGUGGUUGUCAGCUUAUACUUAUGGGCCAAUAGGUGCCUACUCCACCUACUGACAGCGGUGAGUAGGUGCAGCAGGUCGUCGUCAUCUAUUCCUAAAGUAGAUCACGGCUUGGGGGACCAAACCAACUGAAUCCAGAUCCACUAGAGGCGCUGUUAAACCCUUUUUCUUCACGGGAGAAUCGACGCGCUGAUCAAGGCUUUACUGUCAUAUUGGAGAUACUGGAGAUAUGGUGAAACACAGGACAAGUGUGCGAUCUACGAAACAUAGAGUAUGUGUUCGUCGGAGGAUCAUUGGUGGUGCUACCAAAGUUUCUGUUUUGAGAAACGUUUCACAUCCACCUGUAACUGUGGAUGUUACACCUGUCACCACCACAUCAUCUCUGGAUGAACAUUCAGAGGCAGAACCAAGCAGCAGUUGCAUGUCCGAGACUGCUUACACAAAAGCAAAGAAGAAGGAGCUCAGGGCCUGGGACUCAUUGAAGGAGGAUAUGCUGCGGGUAUCUUAUGAGUCAUCAGCACCAUCUACAAAUAUCUGUGCUCUCUGCAAAGAGCAUGCAGAGAGUAGGUGCCUUGAGUGCAGCAGUACUAAUAUGUUUUGUGAGACCUGUAUCACAAAAACCCACCGCAAUUCCUUGCACCUACCAGAGAAAUGGAAUAAAACAUUGUAUGUGACAUCUCCACUUGAAUUAGCACUACGCUUACCAGGAGAACAUUGUUCUCAUGCUGUGUACGCAAGAGAUAUGAAAAUAUUUGUGAACACAGGCCAGUUGUGCAGCUUCAGCGUGACUCUUUGUACAUGUGAACCAGAAACUUGCACCCUGCUCAGAUAUGGAAUCUGGCCUGCGACACCAGAGAGGCCUCAAACAGCGUUCUCUAUAGCUCUUUUGGAGCUUUUUCAUUAUCUGUCCAUGGAAUGCCAGGUAUCUGUUGAGGGAUUCUGCAAUAUGUUGCGGUGGAAAAACAAUCUGUCUCUUUCAGAGGUUAACAUGCUCUACAGAGCUCUGGUGGGAGAAUCUAUAUCCCAGUUUCGCCACCACCACUUUAGAUGCAGAAGUUUAUCUGGUCUUUGUCCCUCAUUUGAUGAUGGAACAACAUGCCCAGUAUGUCCUAAGAGUAACGGCAAUCUGAUUGUAACAAUGGAUGCCAACUUUGGCCUUGUUCGAAAAAGAAGUUCAGGAAGUAGUUUGGUGGAGCCGUUGCAUGGUAACAGAAUGUUUGUGAGGGAAGAAGAUGUGCAAGAAUACCUGUCAUCCCAUCCUGAUGGUUCCAAGCCAAAUGAAGACUGUAGUAAUUUCAAGGCAGGGAACCUGCUUCGUUCUCAAAAAAACCAACAAAAACUAGAUGUAACAGGGGUGUUUGGAGUCUCUUGCCGCCAUGAGAUUCCGUUGGUGUUUUUGAACAUGACCCAGGGAGAACGGCUAGCAUAUCCAAUGUAUAUAAUCAAAGAACUCCUAACAAGGAAUCAGGGCAAGAACCUGAAUCUGUAUGUCAUAUAUGACAUUGCAUGUGUACUUUCAUCACACAUGCAUGUGAGUAUGUUAUCACUAAAAAUGGGCACAAAUUACUUUUGUCUAAUUUAUUUUUGUUAUUAG
ensembl:lncRNA uncharacterized LOC114862044